CUGCAGGGGCAGCAGCCAUUACAGCGCUGCCAUUUUACAAUAUAAAACUUGCUUUAACUUCCGAACUAGAGGCACUGGUGAUCUUUCCUGACUGGCUUCAAUGUGGUUGACCCAAGACUGAUUGUUGGUGAUAUUUAUCCCGAGGUGAUCUAGUUCCAUGGAUGAGGGACUUUCGGACCUGUGUAUGGUCUGGAGAUGUCCUACCUGGAACGGAGGGGUAUGUGAGGGGAUCGAGGGAGGUGUUUGUCAUCGUGAAGGGUAGCGACAGGGCAGAAUUGGUUCAUGAACCAGAGAAAAGAUAGUGGCUCAAAGGUGCCAUCAUAAGAGGGCAUGAGUUUAGGGAAAGGAGCAAGGGAGGUCUGAGGAAUGAUUUUUUUUCACAAAGGGGCAGGUUGGAGUCAGGAGCACUCUGCCAGAGUGGGUGGUCGAGGCAGAAACUAUCAACAUUUAAAAAGCAUCAAGACCAGCACUUGGAUCCGGCACACAUGGAAUGUUGAGAUGGGUUGUGCAAGAUAAGGGUUCAGAUGUUAUGCAGUUGAGUUCCAGUUGUGGUAGCAGAGGUCCAGCUGUGGUGGAUGGGGUCCAGCUGAGGUUCGAGUUGUGGUGCAAUUGGGGGAGUCCAGUUGUGCUAUGAAUGAGGUCCAGUUGAGUUCCUGAGGAGCCCAAGCUCUGCUGCAGUUGAGGUCCAGCAGUGGUCCACGUGAAGUCCAUCUUUGGUACAGUUGAGAUCCACUUGUGGUAGAUGAGGUCCAGGUCCAGCUAUGAUGUAGGUGAAAUCCAGAUGUGGUAGAUGAGGUCCAGUUGAGAUCCAGCUGUGGUAGAUGAGAUCCAGCUGUGGUAGAUGAGAUCCUGCCCUGGUAGAUGAGGUCCAGUUGAGAUCCAGCUGUGUGGAUGAGAUCCAGCUGUGGUAGAUGAGGUCCAGUUGAGAUCCAGCCGUGUUGAGAUCAAUGAGAUCCAGUUGAGAUCCAGCUGAGGUAGAUGAGGUCCAGUUGCAGUUGUGGUGUGUAUGAGGUGCAGUGCUGCGGAGCAGGGCGCCGGGUGGGGAUGGACCUCCUCAGGCGGUGUCCGGGCCCAACGGGCCGAGCGGCCUCCAGCAGGACAACAACGCAGGCC